rnacentral:rRNA from 1 species
GAUGAACGCUGGCGGCGUGCUUAACACAUGCAAGUCGAGCGAAGCACUUUCAAUGAUCCUUCGGGUGAUUUGAUUGUGACUGAGCGGCGGACGGGUGAGUAACGCGUGAGUAACCUGCCUCAUACAGGGGAAUAACAGUUAGAAAUGACUGCUAAUGCCGCAUAAGCGCACGGGACCGCAUGGUCCAGUGUGAAAAACUCCGGUGGUAUGAGAUGGACUCGCGUCUGAUUAGCUAGUUGGUGAGGUAACGGCCCACCAAGGCGACGAUCAGUAGCCGGCCUGAGAGGGUGAACGGCCACAUUGGGACUGAGACACGGCCCAA